rnacentral:rRNA from 1 species
CCUACGGGGGACUGCAGUGAGGAAUAUUGGUCAAUGGACGAGAGUCUGAACCAGCCAAGUAGCGUGAAGGAUGACUGCCCUAUGGGUUGUAAACUUCUUUUAUAUGGGAAUAAAACGUUCCACGUGUGGGAUUUUGUAUGUACCAUAUGAUUCAGGAUCGCCUAACUCCGUGCCAGCAGCCGCGGUAAUACGGCGGGUCCGAGCGUUAUCCGGAUUUAUUGGGUUUAAGGGGAGCGUAGGUGGAUUGGUAAGUCAGUUGUGAAAGUUUGCGGCUCAACCGUCAAAUUGCAGUUGAAACUGGCAGUCUUGAGUACAGUAGAGGUGGGCGGAAUUCGUGGUGUAGCGGUGAAAUGCUUAGAUAUCACGAAGAACUCCGAUUGCGAAGGCAGUUCACUGGACUGCAACUGACACUGAGGCUCGAAAGUGUGGGUAUCAAACAGGAGUAGAUACCCGAGUAGUC